GUUACUGGCAGCCAUCUUCUCGGGGGUGCUGGGAGCCGGGAAGACCCCCCGAGUCGUUCCCAUUGAGCUGCUCUUCGUCUUCGCUUUCUUCACUUUUUCCUUUUCUGCGUCACCUACAAGCACCUGGUCCCGAGGCUGAGAGAAAGCCCGGGUCCAGACCCGUGUUCCGCUCCUGGUUCAGAAAGAUUCGCUGGGGUGGAGGGAAGGGGGAGGGCCCGGGCAAGCCGUUGCAGCCUCAGCCCGGGCCGGGGUCCGGGGAAGGGGAGCUCCUAGCAGACUGUGGACUUGCGGCCUGCGGCCGUCCCCGCGCACCUUUUCACCGAAUCCAGUUCGCGGGAACCUGCCACCGGCGCCUCCCACCGCGGCCCACGCGGGCGGCGCGCGGAGGAGGGGGCGGGGGCAGCGGCGGCCGUAGCGGCCGCGACCCGGGCGGGCGGAGGAGUGUGACGGCCCUCGGGGCCUCUGUGGAUGGUUUCUAAAAUGAUCAUUGAAAACUUCGAGGCACUGAAGUCCUGGCUCAGCAAGACUCUCGAGCCCAUCUGUGAUGCAGAUCCAUCAGCCCUAGCAAAAUACGUUCUUGCUUUGGUGAAAAAAGACAAAAGUGAAAAAGAGUUAAAGGCAUUAUGUAUUGAUCAACUAGAUGUAUUUCUUCAAAAAGAGACACAGAUAUUUGUGGAAAAACUUUUUGAUGCUGUGAAUACAAAGAGUUACCUACCUCCUCCAGAGCAGCCAUCAUCAGGAAGCUUAAAGGUAGAAUUUUUUCAACACCAAGAAAAAGAUAUAAAAAAAGAAGAGAUCAUAAAGGAGGAAGAGCGAGAGAAGAAGUUUUCCAGAAGGCUAAAUCAUAGUCCUCCUCAGUCAAGCUCCCGAUACAGAGAAAAUAGAAGUCGUGAUGAGAGGAAAAAAGACGAUCGUUCUCGCAAAAGAGAUUAUGAUCGAAACCCUCCUCGAAGAGAUUCAUACAGAGACCGGUACAAUAGAAGACGAGGGCGAAGUCGCAGUUACAGCAGGAGUCGGAGUCGAAGUUGGAGUAAAGAGCGGCUUCGUGACAGAGACAGGGAUAGAAGCAGGACUAGAAGCAGAAGCAGAACACGAAGCAGGGAAAGGGAUCUGGUAAAACCUAAAUAUGACCUGGACAGAACAGAUCCACUGGAAAACAAUUACACUCCUGUUUCUUCGGUACCUAACAUUUCAUCUGGUCAUUACCCUGUACCUACUUUGAGCAGCACUAUAACGGUAAUUGCUCCUACCCACCAUGGUAAUAACACUACCGAAAGUUGGUCUGAAUUUCAUGAAGACCAGGUGGACCACAACUCUUAUGUCAGACCACCGAUGCCAAAGAAACGGUGUAGAGACUAUGAUGAAAAGGGUUUCUGUAUGAGAGGAGACAUGUGCCCUUUUGAUCAUGGAAGUGACCCAGUAGUUGUAGAAGAUGUGAACCUUCCUGGCAUGCUGCCGUUCCCAGCACAGCCUCCUGUUGUUGAAGGACCACCUCCUCCUGGACUACCCCCGCCUCCACCAAUUCUUACACCCCCACCUGUGAAUUUGAGACCCCCAGUGCCACCACCAGGCCCAUUACCACCCAGUUUACCACCGGUCACAGAUGAUAUUUCUUAUUCUUUGGUUUUGACAGGACCACCACCUCCACUUCCUCCUUUGCAGCCAUCUGGCAUGGAUGCUCCCCCAAACUCUGCAACCAGUUCUGUUCCUGCUGUAGUAACAACCGGCAUUCAUCACCAGCCUCCUCCUGCUCCACCCUCCCUUUUUACUGCAGUUUUUGUAUUACCAGAUACAUAUGACACAGACGGCUAUAACCCUGAGGCCCCAAGCAUAACAAACACUUCCAGACCCAUGUACCGACACAGAGUGCACGCACAAAGGCCCAACUUGAUAGGACUGACAUCAGGAGAUAUGGAUUUGCCGCCCAGAGAAAAGCCUCCUAAUAAAAGCACUAUGAGGAUAGUAGUGGAUUCAGAGUCAAGGAAAAGAACCAUUGGUUCUGGGGAGCCUGGAGUAACUACAAAGAAGACUUGGUUUGAUAAACCAAAUUUUAAUAGAACAAACAGCCCAGGAUUCCAGAAAAAGGUUCAGUUUGGAAAUGAAAAUACCAAACUUGAACUUAGAAAAGUUCCUCCAGAAUUAAAUAAUAUCAGCAAACUUAAUGAGCAUUUUAGUCGAUUUGGAACUCUGGUUAACUUACAGGUUGCCUAUAAUGGUGAUCCUGAAGGUGCCCUUAUCCAAUUUGCAACUUAUGAAGAAGCAAAGAAAGCAAUAUCAAGUACAGAAGCAGUGCUAAACAAUCGCUUUAUUAAGGUUUAUUGGCACAGAGAAGGAAGCAACCAGCAGUUGCAAACGACCUCUCCAAAGGUGAUGCAGCCUUUAGUCCAGCAGCCCAUUUUGCCUGUUGUGAAGCAGUCCGUCAAAGAACGGUUGGGUCCAGUACCCUCCAGUACUGUCGAACCAGCGGAAGCCCAGAGUGCCAGUUCAGAUCUUCCCCAGAAUGUAACUAAAUUAUCUGUGAAGGACAGGUUGGGUUUUGUAUCAAAGCCAUCUGUUUCAGCAACUGAAAAGGUGUUAUCUACAUCUACUGGCCUAACAAAAACGGUGUAUAAUCCAGCUGCUUUGAAGGCUGCACAAAAAACUUUACUUGUUUCCCCCUCUGCAGUUGAUAAUAAUGAAGCACAGAAAAAAAAACAAGAAGCCCUGAAGCUUCAGCAGGAUGUAAGGAAAAGGAAACAAGAAAUUUUAGAAAAGCACAUUGAAACACAGAAGAUGUUAAUUUCAAAAUUGGAGAAAAACAAAGCAAUGAAGUCUGAAGAUAAAGCAGAAAUAAUGAAAACGUUAGAGGUUUUGACAAAAAAUAUUACCAAGUUGAAAGAUGAGGUCAAAGCUACUUCUCCUGGACGCUGUCUUCCAAAAAGUAUAAAAACCAAGACUCAGAUGCAGAAAGAAUUGCUUGACACAGAGCUGGAUUUAUAUAAGAAGAUGCAAGCUGGAGAAGAAGUCACUGAACUUAGAAGGAAGUAUACAGAAUUACAGCUGGAGGCUGCAAAACGAGGGAUUCUUUCAUCUGGUCGGGGCAGAGGAAUUCAUUCAAGGAGUCGAGGUGCAGCUCAUGGCCGAGGCAGGGGUCGGGGUCGAGGUCGAGGUCGAGGUCGAGGUGUGCCUGGUCAUGCUGUGGUGGAUCACCGUCCCAGGGCAUUGGAGAUUUCUGCAUUUACAGAGAGUGAUAGAGAAGAUCUUCUUCCUCAUUUUGCGCAAUAUGGUGAAAUUGAAGAUUGUCAGAUUGAUGACUCUUCACUUCACGCAGUAAUUACAUUCAAGACGAGAGCAGAAGCUGAAGCAGCUGCUGUUCAUGGAGCUCGUUUCAAAGGGCAGGAUCUAAAACUGGCAUGGAAUAAACCAAUAACUAAUAUUUCAGCUGUUGAAACAGAAGAAGUUGAACCUGAUGAAGAGGAAUUUCAGGAAGAGUCUAUGGUGGAUGACUCAUUACUUCAAGAUGAUGAUGAAGAGGAAGAGGACAAUGAAUCUCGUUCUUGGAGAAGAUGAUUUGACUGAUCAUUGAUCUACAUGUGCUAGAACUCUACCUGUGUUUCAUUAGUAUUAUCUAAUGUACUUUUACAUAUUUGUAAAAACAAUUUUUGGUAAAUGUGAUGGAGAUGGAUUUCACAAAUAGACAAAAGAGAAGAAAACUACCUUCUGAUCCUGUAUUUUGAAAGAUUGAUGUUUGCAUUUUAUUUCAGUAAACAGUUGCUAAAGACAUACUAGAAACAUGCAAUGUUUUUAUUACAAACUUCUACUGAACAUUAUGGAAUUCUUUGGGUUCUUUGUAAUUUAAUGAAUAGGUCUGAAAACUUAUGACCAAUACUUGUUAUAACUUAGAGGAUUUUGUUUUACUCCAAAUAAGGAAUGAAUUUGCAUUUAAAAUCUUAAUGAAUGUUUUCAAAAAUGAAUAGAUAACAUAGUACUCUAACUAAAAUCUCCAAGUAUGUACUCAUAUUAUUACAUAGUAGUAUGCUUAGGCUUUACUAUGUAUUAGCCUUUUGUUGGACUUGUGUAUGUAUUUUACCAUAUGGGUUUCAUUGAUAAUGGUGUAUAACUGCUUUGCAUAUGACUCCCUUCUUAUGCAUUCAGAUGUUUAAAAUAAAGUGGAAUGGUCUCUUAAAAAGAAAAGAAAAGAAAAAAGUAAUGACAAAAAAAAAAACAAAACAAUACAAUGUUCCUUGAUUUAAAAAAAAAAAAGAGAAAAGAAAGAAAAGAAAAAAAGUUAAAGUAGACCAUUCCUGAUGGUAAUAUACCCUUCCCCCCAAUUAUCACAAAAGGAGCUAUAAUCACUAACCUACUCUUAAUAAUAAUGGUUACUGGUACCUUUACAAUAAUGUACAAUCCAAUGUUUAAAAUUUAUACCACUUCAGUUUGGUUUGAUCCUAUAAAUUUUCAACAGAUGUCUUAAAAUUUAAAAGCAGGCUGAUUAGUUUGGACCCAGACUUCAAGUAGAGCUAACAUUUGGUGAAUAAGAAAACCAUCACAUUACAUUUUGGAUGUAUGAAAGAAAACUUGACCAUUUGAAGAUGUAUGAAUAAAGAAAUGUACUAUAGAUACUGCUUUAGGAAAACACUGUUUGUAGUCGUGAAAGUGCCAAAUUGGCAGAGGCUCACGUUUCUUCUCUUUACACCAAACAGCAGAGAGAGACCAUCAUUGCCUGAAUUUAGCUUUGACUACAGCAGCAAGAUCUGUUCCCGUCUGGAGACGACUGUUACAAUGCUACCACCCUGGCAUUUCAUGUUUGCCCUUUAUCUAUUUGAAUAGGUGUUUACAUGUGCUACAAUUAGCGUUUUAUCUUUACAGUUUCUAAGGGCACAUCUGAGUCCAGAAGUAUAUCGGAGUGUCUGCUUUGUUUUACCUUAUUCUUAAAUAUUUUCCCCCUUACUUUAUAGCCAUUUAUUUUUUUAUACACCGUAAGAAGGCAAAAGACCUCUUGGUUUCCUAAUGUGACGUAAGUUCAGUCUCAGCCAAGUUGAGAAUUGUGUCCAGGAAAUCUGUAAAGCUGUGAUGCUGUUUUAAUUCACAUGAAAAAUUUAGAGUGAAGAAAAUGAUUAAAAUGUUAAUUUUGGGUUUAGUUUAAUUUUGAGAGGGGGUUCAGUGGUGUACGUUCCAGAGUUAGAAUAGUCCCUUAAAAUGAUUUCAAACAGAUGGUAAAAUACUUUUUUACUCACCCUUGCUUAUUUCUUCUAAAUAUACUUAGUGAAGUUGUUCCCAAGACCACUUACCUGAAUAAUUUUUUUAAUAUUCUUAGGUCUUCAAAACCAACAGUGAGACAAUUUUUUGUCUUUUCAAGUAUUGCAGAAUGACCUGUGGAGUAUAAGUAUUGAAAAAAUAUCUAUUAAAUGUCUAACUUACACAGUUUUUCCAUACUUUCCUCGCACUCACGACAUCAAAGACAAUCUUAAAAGCAAGGGGAAAUAAUGUUGUGUGUUUAACAUUGUUAAAGACCAUAGUUUUUCUAUCUUAAAAGGUGUAUGCCCAUAUUAUUUAUUAAUAAGCAGUAUGGCUUAGAAUUAUUUAUAGAGUAUGAUUCAGUUUAAUCCUAGGUAUUUACCCCAAACACCCUUUUUAUAAUGGGCAUCAAUUUCAAAACCAGUUUUCAGGAAAUCAAUUUUUGAGUAUUUCAGACCCUUGUGAGGCAUUUGAAAAGUUGGAGGUUAUACUUGGUACAAACUCUUCAUUGGAAAAGUCCAAAUGGCAGUUGAUUAUAUUCACCCUUGUUCAUGCUAUAUUUUCCUUUUGUACGCGUAUGCAAAGUUGACUGUUCUGUAAACAUUUCUUUCUUGAGUAUGCGUUGCAUUUGUCUUCAUGAAAAAUAAAAAGAAUGAACACAUCAGUCAUAACGUAAAUGAUCUAUUUUGAUCCACUUUAGUUGGAGACAGCAUAGUUAAUAUUAGGCAUGGUAUGAAGGAAAAGUACAUACUUCGGAAGGUCUUCUAACAUAAUUAUGACCUAAUAUGUGUACAAGGCCUUUUUAAAAAUAGACUUUAGUUUUAGUUUAUAUUUGCAAACUAGCAUAUAGUUGCAGGGAAUUUGUAAAUAUUUUCCCAGAUUAAUUCAGUAUUUUUUCAAGGAAUGAUUCUCUGCCCGUCCAGUAAUGGUUUAUGUGCUGCAUUAGAAACCCAAAGAACAUUGUCUGCAGAGGCCAUAUUUGCUGCUCCCAGUUUUAGCUGGUUGUUGGAUGUGGACCACACACUACCGCCCUCAAUGUUUUUUUGUCAUCUUCCUGUUUUUCCCUUGCCUUUAAAUUAAAAACAAAAUAAAGCAAAACAAUAUUGAACUUAC